UGCGUUUUUUAAGCCGAACGGCAUGCGC
rnacentral:sRNA from 1 species